rnacentral:piRNA from 1 species
UGCAAUGCAGAGUGGGAACAGAGCUUGA